rnacentral:rRNA from 1 species
GGUAAGGGCUCACCAAGGCAACGAUGCGUAGCCGGCCUGAGAGGGUGAACGGCCACAUUGGAACUGAGACACGGUCCAGACUCCUACGGGAGGCAGCAGUGGGGAAUAUUGCACAAUGGGCGAAAGCCUGAUGCAGCAACGCCGCGUGAGUGAUGAAGGCCUUCGGGUUGUAAAGCUCUGUCUUCUGGGACGAUAAUGACGGUACCAGAGGAGGAAGCCGCGGCUAACUAC